CUCCCUACAAGAAUACAAACAUAAGCCUGCAGUGGUGGCGCCCGUAGUCCCUGCUAGGGGGUGACACAGGAGGGUCACUUGAGCCCAGGAGGUCGAGGCUGCAGUGAGCUGCACUCCAGCCUGGGCCACGGAGACCCUGUUGAUAAAUCUGGUGACCUCAGCCAGGGGACAGCAGAGGCCGUGUGGACCUCGGAAAGAACAGACCGUUAGUGGAUCGGCCACAGGACUGUCUCCCAGCCCCUUCUGGAACUUUCCAGGCCUGUUUUCCUCCAGAGCUGGAUGGCCCCAGGAAGGGAACAGCCACAUGAGGGCAGGAGCCAUCAUUAGGGCUGCCCCUGUCACCCUGGAGCCCAGGCCCUGCAGCAGGGGACCUCGAGGUCCACCCAUGGGUGCACCACAGCUGCCCUAGCCAUGCCGGAGCCUUCAUGGGCUCAUCUCAGACACUGGCACCUGAACCGGCAGGUUUUCUGCAGCGAACUCGGAGGCUGCUCUCCUGGGCACCAAGGAGCCCGUCUGUGUUCCCAGCAGGGCCACCAGGUGUCACUGCUCUCCCAAGCCCGCCCGUGGGCCCCUGAGUUACCUGCAGCGAACUCCUCGAUGGUCAUCAGUGGAAAGCGGAUGAGGCCCAAGGCCUUGCCCAGAACCUUCCGCCGGUUCUCGGGCGUCACCUGCAGCUGCUGCCGCUGACACUCGGCCUCGGACCAGCGGACAACGGCGUUGAACAGCCGCACUUCACGGAUGCCCAGAGUGUCGCGCUCCAGGACGGCCACCAGCGUGUCUGCGGGGUGGGGAAGGGGCUGUGUGAACAGGACGCCCGCGUGCCCACCCUGCAGGAGGCAGGGAGACUGACAAGAACCAGCAGUUGCAGCUGCACCGGCAACUGCGGCCUACGGCCCAAACCCGGCCCUGUAAUUGUAUGUGUAAAUAAAGCUUUAUCGACACACGACCACA